rnacentral:rRNA from 1 species
CUACGUGCGGCAGCAGUGGGGAAUAUUGGACAAUGGGCGAAAGCCUGAUCCAGCCAUGCCGCGUGUGUGAAGAAGGCCUUCGGGUUGUAAAGCACUUUCAGUGGGGAAGAAAGCCUUGGGGCUAAUACCCUCGAGGAAGGACAUCACCCACAGAAGAAGCACCGGCUAACUCCGUGCCAGCAGCCGCGGUAAUACGGAGGGUGCGAGCGUUAAUCGGAAUUACUGGGCGUAAAGCGCGCGUAGGCGGUCUGAUAAGCCGGUUGUGAAAGCCCCGGGCUCAACCUGGGAACGGCAUCCGGAACUGUCAGGCUAGAGUGCAGGAGAGGAAGGUAGAAUUCCCGGUGUAGCGGUGAAAUGCGUAGAGAUCGGGAGGAAUACCAGUGGCGAAGGCGGCCUUCUGGACUGACACUGACGCUGAGGUGCGAAAGCGUGGGUAGCAAACAGGAUUAGAUACCCCUGUAGUC